CAAUUUUCCCAGGAAACAAACAGCUCCACUAAAACGAAGGCUGUACGCUCCAAGAGCCUCUCUUCGUCUCUCAUUUCCUUAAAACCAAUAACCACAAACAAAAAAACAACGUCUCUCUCAUUUUUCCAUGUUCGACGAUCUUUAUCACCGAAAACUCUAACUCUCACAUUCCCGAUUUAGAGCCCAUUGUCAUUUCACAGUCACCAGAGCUUGGAUCGCUCCUAUGAAUCUAUACGAUUCUAACCCUUUCGCCGAUGACGAGGUCAAUCCAUUUGCAGUAAGUUCUUAUACAGACCUGCAUUUAUGUAUACGUGUUUUUGUAUCUAUAGACCGAAGUCUCCAUCUUCAAUCGCGAUUUCUAUAUGUGUCUGUGUAUUUACAUACACAUGAUCCUUUGGGAUUUGGAAUUGAUGAUAUGUUGAAAUCCUGACUUAUAGUGCUUCAAUUUGUUUUCAUUUCACUACUUUGGAUCUCUCUUUGGUAUUUGAUUCCACGGUGAAUUGAAACCCACAAUGCAGGUUGUGCGGCUAUGUUCAUCUCUAGUUUCUUUGUUUCUGUUAUUCAAUGGUCAAUUUAGUUGGUUAGAAAACAGAGAAAAGGGAAACAACUAGAAGGUUUGGAUCUUAGGCCUUUAUUUUUUUUUUGGGUUAUGUAGAACUCAAGCAUCUGAAUGGGUUCAUGUGCAUUGCUGGGGUGAUUGUGUUUGUCUGAUGUGCUGACUCUGUAAAGAUGAUUUCUGCAAAGAUGAAUUUUUUUUUAUUUCCCUUAUUGUAAUCUUCAUCUUAUUGCGUUUUGCUAAAUUUCUAGAAUCCUGGAAGUGUCCCCCCUGCAAACUCAAGGCUUUCACCUCUUCCUCGUGAACCCUAUGAUCGCAAUGCAACAAUUGAUAUUCCUCUUGAUUGGAUAAGGCUGCAAAGCAACAAUUGAUAUUCCUCUUGAGGGAUUUUUAUUUAUUUAUUUAUUUAUUAUUUUUAAGUUUAUUUAAUUUAUUUUUUCAGUUUUUUCUUCAGACUCGAAAUGACGUUUUUACCCCUCAUUUUGACACACAAAUUGACAGAGUUGGAAGGUAGAACCCAAUUGCAACUAUUUGUCCAAUUAAAGAAUUUCAUUGCCUCAAAAAUUAGUUCACGAAACCAAUUGCAAUUGGGGCCAUAGUUCAAGGACGUCUACAGUAAUUCUAUAUUUUAUGUGAACUCAAUUAUUUGAAUUCAUUUUGAUGUAAUAUGACUUUGACCUUCUAUUUAAUGAAACUCGAUUUCAAACCAAAAAAAAAAAAAGAUGGCCUAGUGUUGAAUCAAUUUUCGGAAAUCAUUAAAGCUUCAGUUUUCUGUUUAAAACUCUCUUCCAUAUUCUCUCAUAUCCAUCUUUCUCCAACAAACAACCCUAAAAUCUCUUCUUCUCGUGACCAUGGACAUGGAGAUCGAUAAAGAAGGCUACUUAGAGUUAUUUGUCAAGUGGUACGAGGAUCCAGAAGUCUUCCAGAUGGUGAAGAAGAGGGUUGCAAGAGCCACGUUGACGACGCAUAUCGGCAACAAGAACAACAAUGUCAUCGGCAACGUGGAUAUGCCAAAGUAGGAAUUGGUGUGGUAUGAGAAUCCAGAAAUCAUGGUAUGAGAAUCCAAAAAUCGUCCAAAAUUUGAAGGAGAUGUUUGGCCCUUCACUGUACGAAGAUGGAAAGCCUCAAGGCAUCGCUUUCUCUAGGCACUUCCCUAAUUGCUAUGCUUCUUUUGUUCCCGUUUUUGCCCCUUCCCCUUCGUUGCGAAGGUUUUGUCCGCUCAGAGAAGUGCCCAUUUUCAGUCCGUUUCGAACCAGCUGGUUGGGGGGCAGCCAUGGAAGAUCCGCAUUCAUUGUUAGACAUGCGUGGGGGGCCGUCGAUUUUUGUUUGGGAGGUGUGCUGCAAAUCCAGCCGCACUUUUAGUCUUUGUCUCACAGAUUUGUGGUCGGGAGAUUUCUCAUCCUUUCUACAGCCUUCGACUCAGACUUCCAUCUUUCUUGCUUGCGAAUUUUUGCAUCCUUUGUCUUCAGGUUCUUGGGUAAUCCCUAAUGCUUUUUUUAUUUAUUUUUUACGAAUUUGGGUUCAUUUAUUUGGUUACUUUGAUUUCAGGUUCUUGGGUAAUCCCUAAUGCUAUAUAAGAGGAGCUGAGGUUCUUGGGUAAUCCCUAAUGCUAUAUAAGAGGAGCUGAGGUAUUUAUAUUUCACAACAUAUUGGGUUCUAUCAGGAAGGGGAUUGAAUCUCACAGAUUAGCUCAGCUUGAAUACACCAAAAGGCAAGGGACUAGACAUUUGCAUUCUGCUGUCAUUUUCGAGGGUCAAGACCUCCAUCAAAGAGAAGAAAAAUCAUGAAGAAAUUGCAAAACAAAACUCGCCCAAUUAAACAGCAUGCUGCUCAAAACUAUCCAAAUUUUGAUAUUUUGAUGGAUACUUCCCACUAUUAACAUCUCAAUGUAUAUACAAACAAGUCUAUUAUUUUAACAUAACAAGUAGCCUAUAAAAUAUGUUAUUACUUACUUUUUUGCAACUUAUACUCCCUUAGUUAAACAUAAUGCUAUAAGUUAAAUCUCAUUGUAUAUAUAAACAAUCUUACUUUGUCUACGCAAUUUCAAAACCCGCAGCAUCGCGCGGGCUUUUCUGCUA